AGUCCACUUCUGCCAGGCAAACACAGACAGUUUCUAGUUGCAAGAUAUCCCCCAUGGCAGAGAAAAAAAAAAGUUUCUUCUGGGAUGCAGACAAUCCAGGAAUCAGUGAUAAUCCACUGACCUUUCUAGGAAGUAAGAGCAAAGAACAAACAGGUUAGAUUCUGAGAAGCUGUUUCUAAGUUUGAUGGUUUUUUUUUUCCUAAGCCUGAGGCACUGAGAAGGGUUCAAGCUUGUAUUCUCCAGAUGCAAGGGUGCAAAUAAAGCCCGAUUUCCACUGGCAGCUAUUAUAACCAGGAGAGGAUCCUGCCUUUGGCUAAGGCCAGCGGAAAGGAAGGCAAAUGGAGAGACACAAAGAGCCUGAAUCUUUGAGCCAUCACUCAGUUGCGAUCAAACUGCCUGGAACCCACCCCACCCCGAUCGCCUGCUCGGACAAAAAUAACUGAAGCUCCCAUUGUUCAAACCAGCUUGUGUCAUGGUUUCUGAUGUUUAUAACUAAGACCAAUUCAAACAAUACAAUAUUUUAAAUCUUUAUUAUUUUUUAAGGAAACAAUAGCUUAAGGGUAAAAACUCAUCUCUAAUUGUAAAAAAAAAUUAUCUCUAAUUGUAGGCUUUUGAAGUUAGGGUCGGUCAGUAUUUUUAGAUAGAAUCUUUCAAAACUCAGGAGAGAGACUCAGCUUAUUUCAUGUGUAUGAUGAGGAUGUCUCCUUUAUUCUUUUUCCUGCUAUCACACUUAUGCCAGGCUUUCUUUCAAAACUUAACUCACCCAGCUCCUUGUCUUUGAAGCCUUCUUUUAAUUCUUCUCCCACAUUCCCCAAAACCAAGUCAAUUCUCUCCCUCAGUGCCCUCAUGUGUAUAAAUUGCAUAUCAUAUGGCAUUUUUUUCAUGUCUGUAAGACUCCCAAUUUCCCAAAGGCGAGGUUACUGUCAUUUUCUUCUGUAUCUACAGUGACCAUCACAUGAAAAGUACUCCAUAAAGGUGUUAAGGAUGGAAUUGUGUCCCCAACCCCAAAAUUCAUGUGUUGAAGCCCUCACCCUCGAUGUGACCAUAUUUGGAGAUAGAUAGGGCCUUUAAAGAGGUAAUUAAGUUAAAUGAAGUCAAAAUAGUGGGGCCUAGUAUCAUAUGACCGAUGUCCUUAUAGGAAGAGGAGAGACACCAGGGAUGUGCACACACAGAGGGGAGUCCAUGGGAGGACGGGGCAAGAAGGUGGCUGUCCUCGAGCCAGAGAGAGGCCUCAGAAGAAACCCAACUUGCUGGCACCUUGAUCUUGAACUUUCGGCCUCCAGAACUAUUUACUGUUACAGCACACUGAAGUCCUGAGCCCUCCGCCACCCGCAAGGCCUUCCUCGGAGACAGGGACCUAUCCAGAGAUGUCUCUGUCACUGUCAGGAUGCGCUGCAAGUGGACAAAGGGUUUCCUUCGUGUUGACCCUAAGAAGACCUCGACUUGAUCAAGGAAGAACUGAGCAUGGCUUGCAGUAGAGACAGUCACACACAGCUUCCCAUGAAUAGGUGUGGGCCUGAUCAUCUUAGCACCUUCUCUAGCCUUCAAGAAGCUCUCAAAAUCAGGGCCAUCUUGGUAUUUCACUAGCUGCUUCUUUCUUUUUUUGAUAUUUUAAGAGACAGGGACUUGCUAUGUUGCCCAGGUUGGACUUGUAUUCCUGGGCUCAAGCCAUUAUCCUGCCCCAGGGCUCCCAAGUAGCUGGGACUACAGGCCUGUGCCACCUCACCCACCCUCGCUGUUUAUUUCAAUGAACUGCAGGUUGAUGAUGAUCAAUCUUCUUUCCUAAUCUCCUGGUUGAAAUUAGGGAUAUUCAGAUUUUUUUGAAGUGGAGACUAUCAGGGUGUUAGAAGACCUAGUUCUGAACCUGCUCUCUGCUAACUUACCAUACGACUUUAGGCAAGUUGCUGCCCCACUAAGAACUUCAGUCUUAUCUGUGAAAUCAAGGGACUGGACUAAGUGGUCUCCGAGAUCCCCUCCAGCUGAAACCAUCUCCUGUACUGUCCACUAUUAUAGCAAAUAACCACACAUGGCUGAUUAAAUCUAAAUUAAUGAAAUAAAAGUCAGAAUGUAGUUCCUCAAUCUCACUAAUCAUAUGUCAAGGGCUUUAAUAGCCAUGUGUGGCCAGUGGCUGCCAGGUUGAACAGUGUAGUUCUCCUGCUCUCAUUUUAUUGAUGAUCAUGGUUUCAUAACAAAACCUGCCAGUUGAAGACCACUUUCACGUGUAUGGUGCAUUUUAAUACACGCUUACAUUUAACUACCCAAAAUAGGCAAGAGAGAUAUUCUAAUAUCUGCCUUAUCAGAUGAGGACACUAACUCAAAGAGUAAAUUACUUGCUAUAGGGUCAUACCACUAAUGACUAAAUGUAGUUUCCAAGCCCAGGACUCUCUAACACAUGGUACAAAGUCAUGACGAGAAGACAUGUGCCCCCUGGCCAAAACUAUUCAACCCAUGGUAGCACCAGAACUGAGAUCCAGGGAUUAAGGGCUGAUCUGGAGACCCUGUGCCUUGGUGUAGACCUUAGCUCAGCACAUCCUAGCUGUGUGACCAUGGGCAAGUUAUUUAAUAUCUCUGGGCUCCUUUCUAGUCCUCUGUUAAAUGGGAAUGACCACAGGAUCCACUGCUUAUGAGAACUGCACAAGUAGAUGCAAAUAAAAUGCUUUGCAUGGGAGGUCAGGCACCUAACAAUGGCUCACUUAGCAUCGCCACUGCCUUCAUUUUACUCCAGGCCCUUGCACGUCCUCACUGCCCCAAAUAGACCGAUGGCCCCUGCAGCCUUACUCCCAACUUGUCUAAAGAAAGUUGCUACUCUUAGGCAUGGACAACAGCUUGCUUUUUGAAACCUACUGAGUAGUUUGGCCUCAUAGCCUCCUGGGGCUGUGAGCACUCUGUAUUAAUUACAAGUUGUACAGGAAGAGCGCUUUCUGAGGGAUCGGAUUAACCCACCUGGGCAGUGUGCCAUGAGCAAAUGGCUUUUCCCCCUAUAAUUUUUUGAAACUCUUCAGUGGCAGGAACCCACCAUAUACCUGCCCCCAAGGAAGACCUGACCCACAGUAGGUGCCACCAGUGCAUAUGGCAAGAGGGGUGAGGAGGUGUAGGGGCCACCCCAAGAGCCUCCAGCACAGCACUCUGCCCUGGAGCAGGGUACAACAGACUGCAAAGCUGGCUCUGCCCAGACUAAAUUUUAUCUUCUGCAAAAGGCAAAGCAGACACACAUAUCCCCUGGUGAUGGUUUUUCCUUCCCUGUCCCACCACAGUGUACUGUUUGAAAGAACAAUAUUUACACUGAUGUUGCAGCAGGAGUGGGGGCCAGGCUACAAAGCGGAAACUGGGCUCCACCAGAGCAGGAGGGAGGGUCUGGGCCCAGCACCGACUCCAGAGGUGUUUUCCUCUGCCCUCCUAUCCUCUCAGGGGCCUGCCCUGGGGACUGAGGAAGCCAGGAAGGAUCAUCUGGCCCCAUGUCACUUCUCCAGGGGCCAGGAAUGGAACUACCAUCAGAACCUAGGUCACUCUUAAUGCAGGAAAAUGAAUAGCUACUGGAUGCAGCUAUUGGGCAUCCAUGGAAUGCAAGAUGCAGCGUGAACCAUUAACAGUGGCUUCUAUCUGCUGGUUUCCACAUAACACAACCAAGGCCACAGGCAUGCCAAUGUAGAGGAGGCACUCAGUCACUCACAUGCUUAUUUAUUUGUUCAUUCAUUCAACAAUGACUUACUGAGCACUUGGUCUCAGGGAUGAUUUUGCGCUAAGUAAAACAUGGUUCCUUUAGCAAGAAAUUCAAUAACCAGUGGGGAACACAGAAGGACAAAAAUCAAAUUAUAGUAUGUUAAGUGCUAAAACUGAGACACAAAGAGUUAAGGGGUGCACAGAGAUCCAGGGUCCUCUUCCAGGAGGAGAUGUAUGGGAUCUGGGUCUCAGUAGGCAAAUGAGAAUUUGUGUUGGGCUGGGGGGUGGGGGGUAUCAGGGGAGCAAUCUUGUGCAGCCUUAUAGACCACUGUAGAGACUUUUACUCCGAGAGACGUGGAGAGCCCUUGGAGGGUGUGGGGCAGAGGUGUGAUAUGAUCCGAAUGUGCAUUUUCAUGGGAUCACUCUAGCUGUUCUGUUGAUAACAGAUUGGGAUUGGGAGGGGGAGAAUGGAAGCAAGGAGACCAGUUAGGGGAUUAUUGCAAAAUUCAAGUGAAAGUUGAUGGGGGCUUAUUGACUCAAGCCCCUAAAAAAAAUUGUCACUGCCUUUAUUUUAGCAGAGCCUGCUAUAUAGUAGAUGUACAAUCAGUGUUAAAUUAUACCAGCCAUUCGUGAUAUUUUUUAACCACCUGGCCAGAGCAAACCUUCUCCCUUCUUCGGCAGCUGUCAGAGUCUCUAUCUUCCCAUUUAUUGUGCUCAUUUUCCUCUAAGUCUUCAAAUAACCACCAGGCCUGUCGAGUUUCCCUUCAUAGUACCCUCUCUGGAUCUAAGCGCUUUGCAGAGUGUCUGCCCCAUCUCUGGGGUGGUUGGAAAUCAAUUAAGGGGAUCCUGCUUUGGAGAAUCAUACCAGUUCAAGCCAGGUUCGAUCAUGAGGGUACCCUAAAAAUUCCCACAGACCCAGUCAUUGCUCUUACGGUUCAGUACCAGAGAUAUGGAAAGACAGAUAUCAAAAUGCCACGUGAGUACAAUAGACACCAUUCUUCCCGGAGUUCCUAGGAGAUACCUUGGCUGUCUUACAGAAGACCCUCUUUUGUUUCAUCUCUCUCCCUUCUAGGGUGAGCAGUGUCCUUAAAGGAAGCAUUUAGAGGAAAAUGUCUCCACAAGCCUGAUCCCUUUCUCUGAAAGCAUAAUAAUGCUCAAGAAUGACAACAAUGUAAAUCGCCAGGAUCAUUAGCGGAACCUCGAUGAAUUAAAAUGGCUCACAUCAGGGUAAGAUUAGGUCAGCUGCAUUGAAGGGAGCCAGAGUGCUGGGGUUUGCUGACUUCCAAGCAUUUCAAAACCAAAUAUUGUCAGAGCCCCACCGUCUCAGUCUCAGCAGCAUGGAUAGUCAACCCCUGAUAAGAUCAUCCUUGUCUGGAAAGGACCAAAUUACCGUGCUGUUCAGUCUCUAAGACCCCUUCAUUACCCAUCCCGCAAAGACAAAUUACCCUGGAAAUGCUGAAAGGAGUGAGCCUCUAAAAAGGCUCCAUCUGCUCCAUGGAGAAAGGGCUACUUCUGCUCACAACACAGGUGGAGGUGAAGGGCUAUGCAGAAAGUCCAAGAGUUCGCCUCAAGAGAAAAAUGGCAUUGAAAUCAUCAAGCAAGCCCAGGAAAGUCUGAAUGCCCCAAGAGGUGAAAAUCCUAAAAGCAAAAUAGAGCCAUUAUGUCUCAAGCCGAGGGAAAGCUUGAGAGAUUCUGGUGCCUGAAACAAAUAACAGGAAAACUAUGUCA
rnacentral:lncRNA from 1 species